CAAUAGCGUAUAUUAAAUUGUUGCGGUUAAACGCUCGUAGUUGGGUAUUUGUCGGGUGCUCCUGGUCCAUCCAAGUGAUAGGUACUAGGAAUGUAACCGACAUUCUACUGGGGACAGAGUAUGUACUUUAUUGUGCAGCUCUGAAGCCAGGAUCAUUACUUUGAGAAAAUGAGAGUGUUCCAAGCGGGCGUUUGCCAGAAUAUAUUAGCAUGGAAUAAUAGCAUAGGACCUCAUUCUGAAGCUGUUGGUUAUUGGAGUGAGGGAACGGCAAAUAGGGAUAGUUGGGGGCGAUUCGUAUUUAACUUAGUCAGAGGUGGAAAUUACUUGGAUUUUUAAAGUUAACGAACUAACUGCGAAAGACAUCUG
rnacentral:rRNA from 1 species